CUGCUGGCUCCUUUGUGGGGCUUUGGGCAGCAAAGGGUCGGGAUGAGUUUCCUGCCGAGGCGCCUCCUCCAUCCGGAGCCCAGGAGGAGGAAGAGGAGGAGGCUCUGCAGGAGGAGAGAGAGACCCCCAAGGACCCCUUUCUCCGGCGCCAGACCCAGGGUGAUUAGCAUUGCUAAGUGUUGUCCAGAAGUAACAUCGAUAUUGUUGUGCUGCCAAAACUACAGAGAAAAAUAGGUCUCACCUGGAAUACUGCAUCCGGAUCUGGGCACCACAAUUCAAAAAG